AGCGGUACCAACAGCACGGAGGAAAACGGCGCUUUGCAGCGACAUCGGCUGGCCAGUCUGUUGAUGAUGAAGCAGCCAGUGGAAAAGGAGGAGUAUAGCAGGACUGUAUGAUUAUUCAUCCAGGGAGAGGUCGCCGUACCAAUCCAAGCUCAAGUGUCAAUUCAAUUCCUCUCUGGAACUCUGUUGCCUCCCAUUUGUCUACUGCAGCUUCAACCUCCAUAACCUUCACCUGCCUGCUCUCUUCCACAUUAAUUUCCCUACCAUACGAACUCAAUGCUCAAAACACGUCAGAACUCCUGCAGGACUUCAUAACCGAAUUCUCCGCUGUCUCCUCAAGCCCUUUCACCCUCCUCCAGACAGCAAGCUACUCUCAACAAUUUAUCUAUAAAAGAACUCCUGUCCAGAAUCUAACUUUCUGACUCUAUUCCA